rnacentral:rRNA from 1 species
UACAGAGGAGCCAAGCGUUGUCCGGAUUGACUGGGCGUAAAGCGCACGCAGGCGGCAUCGCGCGUGGGGUGUGAAAUCUGGCCGCUUAACGGCCAGGCGCCAUCCCAUACGGCGAGGCUGGAGCGAUGCAGAGGUCGGUGGAAUUCCCGGUGUAGUGGUGAAAUGCGUAGAUAUCAGGAGGAACACCUGCGGUGUAGACGGCUUUCUGGACCAUUGCUGACGCUGAGACACGAAAGCGUGGGUAGCAAACAGG